AUUCGGUUAAUGAGUCCCAAAUAGGACGAAACGCACAUCCUGGAU
rnacentral:hammerhead_ribozyme from 1 species